CCGAAUACAGCCUGGUUUAAGGCUGCUACGGGGGAUUUAUUAUGGGGUGAAUGACUGCUAUCACACUAGCAGACUAGGGAAUACCUCUUCCCGAAUCCGUCAACUAACCUCGGAGGCAUAAGGAGG
rnacentral:sRNA from 1 species